rnacentral:tRNA from 1 species
GUCAGGAUGGCUGAGUGGUCUAAGGUGCCAGACUUAAGGCUUAAUGCUUUCUAGUGGGAUGGGUGUUCUGGUCUCCCAAAGGAGGUGUGGGUUCAAAUCCCCCUUCUGACA